CUCGUAGUUGGAUUUGNGGCAGUCGCAUGCGGCCCGGCAUUCGUGUCGGUGUUUGCUCGCGUCGCCAUCCUUGGGUGGAACCUGUGUGGCAUUAGGUUGUCGUGCAGGGGAUGCCCAUCAUUUACUGUGAAAAAAUUAGAGUGUUCAAAGCAGGCUUAUGCCGUUGAAUAUAUUAGCAUGGAAUAAUAAGAUAGGACCUUGGUACUAUUUUGUUGGUUUGCGCACCAAGGUAAUGAUUAAUAGGGACAGUUGGGGGUAUUCGUAUUCCAUUGUCAGAGGUGAAAUUCUUGGAUUUCUGGAAGACGAACUACUGCGAAAGCAUUUACCAAGGAUGUUUUCAUUAAUCAAGAACGAAAGUUAGGGGAUCGAAGAUGAUUAGAUACCAUCGUAGUCAACA
rnacentral:rRNA from 1 species